UUCAAUUGCGUUGAGGUGCGACGGAAUACGCAAACACUAGGAAUUCCAACAACGACAAGGCUGAAGUGGACGGUAUCCCAAACAGGCAGUCAUCACGGUAUAGGUAAAACAGAGACUUCAUCACUGCGACAUUGUUUGAUGCGGAAUCCCCAACAGGCAUCAUCACGGUAUAGGUAAACUAAGACCUCAUUACCGCGACAUUGGUUGAUUUGAACGCUGUACCCAACAGGCAGUCUUUGAAGAAUACGCAAUCAAACAGAAUUCACUAAUGCAACACAA